AUUGAACGCUGGCGGCAGGCCUAACACAUGCAAGUCGAGCGGGGUGAUGGUGCUUGCACUAUCACUUAGCGGCGGACGGGUGAGUAAUGCUUAGGAAUCUGCCUAUUAGUGGGGGACAACACCUCGAAAGGGAUGCUAAUACCGCAUACGUCCUACGGGAGAAGGCAGGGGAUCACUUGUGACCUUGCGCUAAUAGAUGAGCCUAAGUCGGAUUAGCUAGUUAGUGGGGUAAAGGCCACCAAGGCGACGAUCUGUAGCGGGUCUGAGAGGAUGAUCCGCCACACGUAGACUGAGCCACGGCCCAGACGCCUACGGGAGGCAGCAGGGGGGAAUAUUGGUCAAUGGGGGGAACCCUGAUCCAGCCAUGCCGCGUGUGUGAAGAAGGCCUUAUGGUUGUAAAGCACUUUAGUCGAGGAGGAGGCUCUUUUGGUUAAUGCCCAAGAUGAGUGGACGUUACUCGCAGAAUAAGCACCGGCUAACUCUGUGCCAGCAGCCGCCGUAA
rnacentral:rRNA from 1 species